rnacentral:rRNA from 1 species
GUUGACCUCGAAUCAGGUAGGACUACCCGCUGAACUUAAGCAUAUCAAUAAGCCGGAGGA